UCCACGCCACUCUUUUGCCUUGACCCCCUCUCUCUUUCGUCACUUUCAUUCCUCUGCCUCUCUCUCCCUCCUCGACGAAGCCCUAAUGCUCUCAGUAAGGUAUGGUGUACUGACAAAGGCUUCUGGGGACUUGCCGAUGCGGAGGCUCGACAUGCUCAACAACGCAUGGCUGGCGAUGGGGAUGUGGUAUGGUGGACGAUGGAGGCUGGAAACAUGGCUGGGUUUGAAGCUUAGAGCUAGGUUGAUGUUUGAGGGUUGGUUAAUUUGUAGAGAAAGGGUCGAGAAGAAAGGGAGAGAGCAUUGUUUGUCAAGAUUAAUGCAGAUUGGGACUGGUUUAUCACAUUAAGUGCUGCUGAUUAUCCACUCAUGACUCAGGAUCGUAUUGAUUAUAUUCUUUAGGUUGUGGAUCGAAUUGGCAAGGAGCAUUGCAAAGUUAAUUUGCAAGAGGUACGGAAUUUGUUCUUUUAACUCUUAUUAUUAAUAUCUUAAAAAUGUUAGAGGAGUUUGAAUAUCUUAAAUAUUCAUCCAUAGAGAAGUAGGUUCUGAGAUUAAAAUUGUGUGUUGCGGUGAUAACGGAAGGUUGAAAACUUGUGUGUAUUAGAGAAGUAGGUUCUGGAAAAUUUGUUUGUGUGCUGCGGUGAUAUAAGGAAGAAAACUUAUU